AAUACUUGUGCUCUUUUAUGGAUGAGCAUGUAUAUGUGAUGUGUCGGAAGAAUAAGGAAAGUGGGAGAAAAACGAUGCCCCGGCAAGGAAUUCUCUUAUUCUCUAUUUCUCCACAUUCUUUUCCAAAAUUCCAUCGGUUUUUUUGCCGUUUUUCGUUUAUUCCUGCCGUUGUCCUUCACCGAUCUGUUGGCGCCUUCUUCUGUCUAAUUCGUUUUCGGCCCA
ensembl:ncRNA C18F3.8 ncRNA